rnacentral:lncRNA from 1 species
CUGUUUACCGUGGACUCCACUGUGUGGGGCUGGGCCAUGUGACAAGGAUGACAGUUGGAGUUAGAAUCAGUCAGGGAGAACCCAUCCCUGGGGACUGGGUGAGUUCAGUCAGAGAGGGCACAUCGUGCCUAAUUGGUAUCAGUGGGGCCUUUAAACUGUGGGUGGUCUCUGAAUCAGUCUGUAGACUCACAGCAGAUACACUUUGGGAAGGAGAAUCUAUUGUCCUCCCCUCACCCACCUUCCCUGCACACAUCCAAGGCCACUCCUGGACUCCUCCCAAACCAGCCUCAGCACCUGCCUUCAGGAGAUGCUCCAGCUUCAUUGAUUUUUUUUUUUUUUUGCUGGUGGAUACUGAGGAGAUGCAGGAGUAGGAAGAAGAAGAGAAGGAGGAGGAGAAUGAAUAUCAAGAUGGAGAGAAAGCCUCAUUUAGUUCUUCACUCACAAAUUCUGAGAAAUCAAAUGAACAAGCUCUCAGCUUCACUCCUUCCAGUAGAUAACACCCUUUCUUGUUUCAACCACCUCCUGCUUUUAGGUGUCAGAAGCUCUUGGUGAGAAGGGCUGCCUCACAUUCUCCUUCCCUCCUCAGCCCAGGUUUCCAUUUGGGGAGGUUGUCUUCAAACCAAGGAAGCUCCCCAGUUCACACCACUGUCUCCUCCAUAAUAAACCCACCCAAUCCUGUUAAAUAAUAUUUCUU